UUUAUUCCCAUAAUGCAUGCUGGGCGCUUUCCCGCUACAAACACAACCGUUUCCGUCGGAGUAAGAUAAGAUUGGUCUGAAAAGACAACCUUCCCUUCCAUUUAACCCAGAAUGCCACCCCGAUUGCCAUAAACAAACCCGCCAUGGACGAGACUAACGUACCUAUGCUACUCAUUACGGCCAACGUCGGGUCUCUCUUCGAAGACCGCGAAAAUAAAGAAAAAAUAUGGGUUGAGAAGAUUUUAGAGACUUUUGAAAAAUUCGAUCCAUCGUUCGUUGCUCUACAUUUUCAAGAAUGUGGUGGAAAAGUUGCCGCCGAGGCAGCUUUCGAGAGUGUUGAAGAUUUUACACGUGCUUUACUCAAAAACGAAAAAAUUUGCCUGAGAUUCGAUCGACGUUUCGCCUGGAUCGACCAAGAUUUUCAAAAAGCUGAAAAAUUCACAGCCUUAGGUUGUAUUUAUUUUAUCAAGAAAUCUCUAAAGAACAUCUUGGUGUGGAAUCAUCAAGAAUCACAAUUUGUUUCUACAAAGGUUGAGGAGAUUAAGGUUGGCGAUCUGUCUGAUGUGUCAUGUGUCCAAAAGUUAAAGUUUCCUAGGGAAUUUUUCCCUCAGUUGAAGUGGUCUAGAAAAGGCUUCAUGAGAACAAGAUGGAAAAUAAAUAACUGCAUAUUUGACCUGUUGAAUAUCCAUUUAUUUCAUGAUGCUUCAAAUCUAGAAGCUAUGCAAAUGUCUCCUUCAGACUACAGUCAGGCUAGACACAGAGCAUUAAAACACAUCCUUGAAAGGCUUGAGAAUGACUCACUACCAAAAGCCCCUUGUAUUCUUUUUGGAGAUUUUAAUUUUAGACUUGAUACAAAGGCUGUUGUAGAGUCACUUUGCGCUGGUCUGCAGUCACAAUACAUACGAAAGGAUGGGGAAAGCAUUCCAUCCAAAGUCUUGUUCAGAGACAAGAAAAUUUCAGACAAGGUUGUCUUAGCUGUAGAGACUAAGAAAUUUGUAGUUCAUGAUCAAAGUUACUUCCAUUCUGAAGAUGGGAAAAGAUUCCAAAAGUAUAACAGAGAAUUUGAAGAGUUUCAAAACAAGUUAUAUGAAUUCAACAUUUCAUUCCCACCAAGUUAUCCUUUUAGUGAUGAUAUCAAAGAGGGGAUGCUGUACAAUAAUUCAAGGUGCCCAUCCUGGUGCGAUCGAGUCUUCCUUUCCCAUUCUGCAAGGAAGAUGGUAAUACAGGAUGUGGACCACUCUGUGACGUAUGAUAUGAUCGGGAGAAAAGUCUGCAUGGGGGAUCACAAGCCAGUAUAUUUACAUUUCUAUUUGGAUUCCUUGAGAGAAGUGCUGUCAGUAACUCAGGAGCUGAAGUAAUGUGUAGUUGUGCUGCUUUUUGAUAGGUUAGUUAUUUUGACAUGGUUAAUUAAUGUUUCAAUCAAAAGCAUAAUGACGAUAAUAAUGCAAUUUCUAUGUCAAUUUUCAAAUAACAUCCUAUUUUCAACUGGCUUUGUUUUAACAAUCUUUGUUUUUUUUUGUGAGAAGAUAACUCUAUAUAUUUUAGUACUAUGAUAACAUUACUGUUCAAGUCAAUAAGAUAAGCGAUAAAUUGCAGGAAAACCCUUGGAAUUUAAUUGAUUGACAGUAUUGUCAGUCUUGUCCGCACCCUCCCUCCCUGGGGCUUGACAUUGAUAGCUGCAUUAACUGUUCAUGUGCCCAAUCAAACAAUAAGAUAAGGCACGGCAGAAGCGUGACGUAUCAAUCGGACCUUAAUUUUAUCCUGUUGCCGUUACAGAGAUGUGUUCAAAUGGGGUUGACACCGAAUUUGUUGAGUACCUGACAUGCGUCUGAGAAAAACAGCUCCGCCCUGAGGCCGAUAGUAACAAUAAUACAUCGAGAAUAGAGAAUGCAACAAAAGGGAGGCAAUACUGCGACCAUUCUCAGGCUGCUAGGUCACAUGACAUGGUGACGUUGUUUACGUCAAAGUGGUGUAGAGCAUCUCUAGAUAUACAGUGGAACCCGAAUUCGAGUUAGCGGUGCUAACUCAAACUGACUUCAUGUUCCUUAAAGACUAAUUUUCAGUCACUCCUACUCGAAUAACUCGAACUCGCUACCUAUGUAGAUGAUAGAGAAAACACGUAAACAACAUGUAACAAGAGGAAACAGAAACCCUCUCUAAAAAACUUUCUCAAAUGCUUCUCGAAAGCAUAAGUGCAUCUAAAAGUAAGAAUUUUUAUCAGAAAGUUGUGAAAAGUGUGGUAUUGUACACUAAUGGCUAACACUUCUGUGAAGGAUAAGUCCAAGCCCCAUAUUAUUUAUGAAUCAUAUCUAACGCAAAUGAACCGAAUUGGUUGUUUCAUUUGAAUCGAAUACGCUUUAUGAGUAAUAUGAAGGUUGAACUUCACUCAAAGCUGGAUUUACAUGCAGCGAUAUGUCGGGCCGAUUGUCGGUUAGAUUAUUUGCAACUUGCAAUUUUUCGAGCCGAUUGUCGGCUAGAUUAUUUGAAACUUGCGAUAUGUCGGGCCGAUUGUCAGCUAGAUCAUUUGCAACUCGCGAUUUGUGGGGGCGAUUGUCAGCUAGAUCAUUUGCAACUCGCGAUUUGUGGGGGCGAUUAUUGUCUAGAUCAUUUGCAACUUGCGAUAUGUCGGGCCGAUUGUCUGCUAGAUCAUUUGCAACUUGCGAUUCGUCGAGCCGAUUAUUGUCUAGAUUGUUUGCAACUUGCGAUAUCUCGGGCCAAUUGUCGGCCAGAUCAUUUGCAACUUGCGAUGUGUCGGGCCGAUUGUCGGCCAGAUCAUUUGCAACUUGCGAUGUGUCGGGCCGAUUGUCGGCCAGAUCAUUUGCAACUUGCGAUGUGUCGGGCCGAUUGUCGGCUAGAUCAUUUGCAACUUGCGAUAUGUCGAGCCGAUUAUUGGCUAGAUUAUUUCCAACUUGCGAUAUAUCGAGCCGAUUGUCGGCUAGAUUAUUUGCAACUUGCGAUAUGUCGGGACGAUUGUCGGCUAGAUUAUUUGCAACUUGCGAUAUGGGAAUAGGAAGUGCUCUUAUUUCCCGGAAAAAAAAUAGCAUAGAUUAGCAAAUAUAUAUAUAUAUGGAAAUACAGAGAUACGGGUAUUUCUAUGUAUAUUCUAUAUGAGUAUAUUGAUAUGAUUAUUAUGAUAUUUUAGAAAUAAAUACGAAUUGGCAAGACUGUAUUUCUGCCAUAGCAAAUUAAGACUAAAAUUGACGGAUUCCUAUAUUAAAUUGCUAUUUAUAUAUCAUGUCGCAAACUGCGAUUUAUUGUAAAUAAAAGACAGUACUCUA